rnacentral:rRNA from 1 species
AAUAAGAGGUCCCGCCUGCCCGGUGACUUCCCCCAGUUUAACGGCCGCGGUAUUUUGACCGUGCAAAGGUAGCGCAAUCACUUGUCUUUUAAAUGGAGACCUGUAUGAAUGGCACCACGAGGGCUUAGCUGUCUCCUCUUUUAAGUCAAUGAAAUUGAUCUCCCCGUGCAGAAGCGGGCAUGCAACCACAAGACGAGAAGACCCUAUGAAGCUUUAGACACCAAGAUAGCUCGCGCCAAAUAACCCCUCUCAAGGGCUGAAGCUAAGUGAUUCCUAUCUCACUGUCUUUGGUUGGGGCGACCAUGGGGAAAUAAAAAACCCCCACGCGGAACGGGACAACCCCCCUCCUCCUAAAGCCCAGAGCUCCCCCUCUAAGCAACAGAAGUUUUGACUUACAUGAUCCGGCAUCGCCGAUCAACGGACCGAGUUACUCUAGGGAUAACAGCGCAAUCCCCUUUUAGAGCCCCCAUCGCCAAGGGGGUUUACGACCUCGAUGUUGGAUCAGGACAUCCUAAUGGUGCAGCCGCUAUUAAGGGUUCGUUUGUUCAACGAUUAAAGUCCU